ACGCGAAAGUUUCCUUCGGGAGGCGAGUAGAGUGGCGCACGGGUGAGUAACACGUAGGUAAUCUACCUUUGGAUGGGGAAUAACAACCGGAAACGGUUGCUAAUACCGCAUAAUGCAGCGGCACCUAAUGGUGACAGUUGUUAAAGCGGGGGAUCGAAAGACCUCGCGUCUGAAGAGGAGCCUGCGGCGGAUUAGCUAGUUGGUAAGGUAAUGGCUUACCAAGGCGAUGAUCCGUAACCGGCCUGAGAGGGCGGUCGGUCACACUGACACUGACAUACGGGUCAGACUCCUACGGGAGGCAGCAGUCGGGAAUUUUGGGCAAUGGGCGAAAGCCUGACCCAGCAACGCCGCGUGAAGGAUGAAAUCCCUCGGGAUGUAAACUUCGCAAGAACAGGAAGAAUAAGUAAGGGUUAAUAUCUCUUACGAUGACGGUACUGUUUGUAAGCUCCGGCUAACUCCGUGCCAGCAGCCGCGGUAAUACGGGGGGAGCAAGCGUUGUUCGGAUUUACUGGGCGUAAAGGGCGCGUAGGCGGCCACCGCAAGUCAGUUGUGAAAUCUCUGGGCUUAACCCAGAAAGGUCAACCGAUACUGCGGGGCUAGAGUGCAGAAGGGGCAACUGGAAUUCUCGGUGUAGCGGUGAAAUGCGUAGAUAUCGAGAGGAACACCUGCGGCGAAGGCGGGGUGCUGGGCUGACACUGACGCUGAAGCGCGAAAGCUAGGGGAGCGAACGGGAUU
rnacentral:rRNA from 1 species